UACGGGGGGGGCAAGCGUUGUUCGGAAUUACUGGGCGUAAAGGGCUCGUAGGCGGCCAACUAAGUCGGAUGUGAAAUCCCCAGGCUCAACUUGGGAACUGCAUCCGAUACUGGAUGGCUUGAAUUCGGGAGAGGGAUGCAGAAUUCCAGGUGUAGCGGUGAAAUGCGUAGAUAUCUGGAGGAAUACCGGUGGCGAAGGCGGCAUCCCGGACCGACAUUGACGCUGAGGAGCGAAAGCCAGGGGAGCAAACGGG
rnacentral:rRNA from 1 species